CGUUUUUCAUAGGUGCGUACACGCACGUAAGAGUUGAAUUCGCUUAAAAUUUCAUAUAAGUGCAAAUAACCUUAACAAUACACAUUAAAUCAUACACAAAACUGAAUGCUGUCCUUUUAUAAAUUUAGUUAUUUCAUAAGUAGGAUGUAAAGCGAAUUCAACUUUUACGUGCGUGUACGCACGUAUGAAAGACGCGUAACUGGAAUGCAGC